UGGAAUCAAGCUGGGUCUAACCAAGGGCUGCGCGGGGUUUCAGGGUUCGAGUGUUGCCGAGCGGGGAAAAGAUCACGCAUACCGGCCAGGUGUAUGAUGAAAAAGACUACAGGAGGAUUCGUUUUGUAGAUCGUCAGAAAGAGGUGAAUGAGAACUUUGCCAUUGAUUUGAUAGCACAACAGCCUGUGAAUGAGGUGGACCAUCGUAUCAUAGCCUGCGAUGGAGGCGGUGGUGCCCUGGGCCACCCUAAGGUGUACAUAAACUUGGACAAAGAAACAAAAACGGGGACAUGUGGCUACUGCGGCCUGCAGUUCAAGCAGCA
rnacentral:lncRNA from 1 species